GAUGAACGCUGGCGGCGUGCCUAAUACAUGCAAGUCGAGCGAACAGACGAGGAGCUUGCUCCUCUGACGUUAGCGGCGGACGGGUGAGUAACACGUGGAUAACCUACCUAUAAGACUGGGAUAACUUCGGGAAACCGGAGCUAAUACCGGAUAAUAUAUUGAACCGCAUGGUUCAAUAGUGAAAGACGGUUUUGCUGUCACUUAUAGAUGGAUCCGCGCCGCAUUAGCUAGUUGGUAAGGUAACGGCUUACCAAGGCAACGAUGCGUAGCCGACCUGAGAGGGUGAUCGGCCACACUGGAACUGGGACACGGUCCAGACUCCUACGGGAGGCAGCAGUAGGGAAUCUUCCGCAAUGGGCGAAAGCCCGACGGAGCAACGCCGCGUGAGUGAUGAAGGUCUUCGGAUCGUAAAACUCUGUUAUUAGGGAAGAACAAAUGUGUAAGUAACUAUGCACGUCUUGACGGUACCUAAUCAGAAAGCCACGGCUAACUACGUG
rnacentral:rRNA from 1 species